AGUGAACGCUGGCGGUAGGCCUAACACAUGCAAGUCGAACGGCAGCACAGUAAGAGCUUGCUCUUACGGGUGGCGAGUGGCGGACGGGUGAGGAAUACAUCGGAAUCUACUUUUUCGUGGGGGAUAACGUAGGGAAACUUACGCUAAUACCGCAUACGACCUACGGGUGAAAGCAGGGGAUCUUCGGACCUUGCGCGAUUGAAUGAGCCGAUGUCGGAUUAGCUAGUUGGCGGGGUAAAGGCCCACCAAGGCGACGAUCCGUAGCUGGUCUGAGAGGAUGAUCAGCCACACUGGAACUGAGACACGGUCCAGACCCCUAAGGGAGGCAGCAGUGGGGAAUAUUGGACAAUGGGCGGAAGCCUGAUCCAGCCAUACCGCGUGGGUGAAGAAGGCCUUCGGGUUGUAAAGCCCUUUUGUUGGGAAAGAAAAGCAGCAGGUUAAUACCCCGCUGUUCUGACGGUACCCAAAGAAUAAGCACCGGCUAACUUCGUG
rnacentral:rRNA from 1 species